UACGUAGGGUGCAAGCGUUAAUCGGAAUUACUGGGCGUAAAGCGUGCGCAGGCGGCUGUGCAAGACAGAUGUGAAAUCCCCGGGCUCAACCUGGGAAUUGCAUUUGUGACUGCACGGCUAGAGUGUGUCAGAGGGGGGUAGAAUUCCACGUGUAGCAGUGAAAUGCGUAGAGAUGUGGAGGAAUACCGGUGGCGAAGGCGGCAUCCUGGACCGGCAUUGACGCUGAUGAGCGAAAGCUAGGGGAGCAAACGGG
rnacentral:rRNA from 1 species